CAUGAUCUCAAGUCUAUGUUCCUGUUUCCCUCUCAAGCAUCACUCUUCUCGUCUGGCAUCCUGAAUCCCUCAUCUGGUUCCUUCAGUUCCGGUUCCUAUUUGUUCGCAGCCAGAAAGAGGUAAUGACAUCACUGGGAGGGACCUAUAUACCUUGUUAUUCCUUUUUUCUGAUUGGUUACCUUGUUACUAAGUAAAAAAGUGCUGCUGUG